rnacentral:rRNA from 1 species
UACGGAGGGUGCGAGCGUUGUCCGGAAUCUUUGGGCGUAAAGGGCGCGUAGGUGGCGGGACAAGCGUGCGGUGAAAGCCUGGGGCUCAACCCCGGGUCGGCCGUGCGAACUGUUUUGCUUGAGCACUGUAGAGGCAGGCGGAAUUCCGGGUGUAGCGGUGGAAUGCGUAGAGAUCCGGAAGAACACCGGUGGCGAAGGCGGCCUGCUGGGCAGUAGCUGACACUGAGGCGCGACAGCGUGGGGAGCAAACAGG